GCGAUAGUGAAGCUAUUUUUAGAUGUUUAUCUAGAUCUAUAUCUCUACAGCAUGGAGUUUUAAGAUUUUUUGAAAAUUAUUUUUUUUUGCUAGCCUUUAAAAUGGAACAUAUUUAGGCUUAUGUGUAGGCUUUAAUAGAAUAAGAUUCUAAUGGGAAUAUUAAUGUUUAUAUGGAUAUAAACAAUGAUUGGGUCAUUUUGCAGGAAACACUUUUCAUCCAUCCAUCCCAAUGGCACUACAGCCCAUGGAGGGCUUUAGCUGGCUUCAACACAUCCCUCCAUUCAGAUCUCUCCUUAGCCUUUUAUCUCCGUCACUAUCUGUGGGUCUUCAUACAAUUGAUAUAUCUCAUGGCCUUCUGUAAACACUGCUCAACAGAACACAUCUAACUCAAGAACUUGACAACAAGAGUUCCAAAAUAAUGUGGUACUUUAAUAACAAACUAUCUCUCUAUCUCAUUCUGGACUUGUGACUGCUUCACUCAAGGAUUCACUGUCCCUAGACCGACUUCACGGUAGACUGACAGUUUGGUCCCCAAAAAUCACAUGGGACAUAUUUUUGUGUAACAUUCAUACCAGUACUGUCCCUUGUACACCAACACAGUAUGCUGAACUGUUUUACUGGCCUGGGUCACAUUUGUCAGGUUAUCACACACAGUUAACCCUAUCGCAUC